CCGCCGCGGCCGCCGCGUCGCCGGCCUGCCUGGGCUUUCGGUCGCCAGGGUUGCGGGGAGGCUGUUUCCCCCGGGGGAGCGGGGGCCAUGACGUCCCUGGCGGAGCAGCUGAAGCGGCUGGCCCUUCCCCAGACCGACCCCAGCCUCCUGAGCCGCAGCGAGGCCGCCUCGCUGCUCUUCAGCCCCAGGGAAGCUGCCGCCAUUGACCGCGACACGUUGUUUGCCAUCGGAUGCACUGGAUUAGAAGAACUGAUGGGUAUUGAUCCUUCAUUUGAAGUAUUCCAGUCCAGCUUGUUUAGUUCCACCUCCAAAGGCCUGGAACGCAGUGUUCAGUCUAAAGCAGUGAAUCAGCAGCUUAAUAAGAAUAUUUCAUUGUUCUUGAUUCACCUGUCCCCUUACUUUAUGCUGAAGCCAGCCCAGAAGUGCCUUGAAUGGCUGAUUCGCAGAUUUCACAUCCAUCUCUACAAUCAAGAUAGUUUGAUUGGUUGCGUUCUGCCAUAUCAUGAAACUAACCUAUUUGUGAGAGUUAUUCAACUUACAGAUAUAAAAAGCCCAACUCACAAAUGGCAUUGGAUGGAUCCAAUAAGGAAACCUGGAGUCCCACUGGCGAGGGGUACUGUCAUUACACACUGCUACAAAGACCUGGAUUUCAUGGACUUCAUAUGCAGGCUGGUGGCAAAAUCUGUGAAGGUUUUUUCAGAGUGUCCUGGCAGCUCAGCUCAACUGAGGGUUCUUCUUGUGUUUUAUGCCUCCACCAUCGUAUCAGCUCUUGGAGCUGCAGAGAAGAUAACAGACACUCUAGUCUCUAUGCUGCUCCCUUACAUCCAAAAGGGUUUGAAAUCCUCUGUACAGGAUUACAGAGCUGCAACGUACAUGAUAAUCUGCCAGAUUACAGUAAAAGUGACAGUGGAGGCUUCCUUGGUGCAUUCCUUGAUGUUACAGAUAAGCAAGAAUUUAUCUAAAGUGCCUGCAUUAGUCAGAGAUGGGUUGGCAUGCUUGAACCUACUUCUACAAACUCAGAAAGGAGACAAACUUGGGAAAAAGCCGUUUAAUUAUCUGUGCAAAACCCCAGAACUGGUAACACUCCUGCAAGGCCUUUCAGCAAGCUAUGAUAUCUCUCCUCUUCUGCGUUACCUGUUGCCUCACCUUGUUUGCACUGUCAUAAAAAGUGAUACAGAGGAACAAGAAGAAGCUGAGGAGACAGAGAGUCAGAUUUAUAUAAGACAUCUUGAAGCUAUUAUUCGGAGUAUACCGCUGGAAAAGGAUUUAGAUCACCUGUUGGCCUCCAAGUUUCUUGAAGAGUUUAUCUCUUGUGGUACAGAGAUUGAAUCCAAUCCCACCCAAAUGGCUGCACUCAAUCAAAAGAUGCUUCCUCUUAUCAGACUUCUUGAGAUAAAGUAUCCUAAAGCCUUAGACUCUGUGUUGGAGAAGCAUCUGGAAGACUGCGUAGAUGAGGCUGACCAGAAUCUUUUUCACCAAUUUAUUUCUCUUUCUUUAAGCUGUGGCAAAUAUGAGUUUCUGGAAGACUCUGAUACCUCCCUUCUGCUUAGUUUGAAUCAUCCUCAGCCAGCUGUGCGGGUCCUGGCUCUUCAGCAUUUGAAAGAUGUUAUCGAAACAUCAAAGGAAGGCUUUGAUCAGUCUUUCAUAGAAGGAGCAAUUUUUGGUCGGCUCAAGGAUGACAACAGAGAUGUUGUAAUGUCUGCUCUCAGUUCUUUGGAGAUUUUCAGGAAACAAGUCAAUCCAGAAUUAGUAGUAUCAAGUCUUUUGAACAUCUUCCAGAGAGCUGAUCUUUCAAAGGAUGCAAAGUGGUACAGGGUUCUGGAGCGAGCAAUAAAAAUUUUAGUCAAAGAGGAGAUUUUGAAAGAGAAAAAAGAACUACUAGAUGAAGCAGUAAUGCAGUUGUUACCUUUUAUGGUGAUCACUAAUGAGAAUUCAAAAUCUUCAGACUGGAAAAUGGCUGUUUGUCUCUCAGAAUCUGAUCUCUGCUCCUUACACCCUUUACUGAAAGGCUGGCCAAAAGCUCUUGAAGAGGCAAUUAAAUCUAGCAAGUCUGCAGAGUUGAUUGGAGAGGCCAACAAGAAAAUGGUUUUGCUGUUUUCUAAAAACAUGACUUCAGGGGACCCUUCCUUACUAUUGAAAAUGGUUGAAGAUCUGAUACUUCUUGCUGAAACGGAAUCUGACACUGUGAGACAGAAAGUAACAACUCUCAUAGUUGGUUCGGUGCUUGUUCAGUGCUGCUGCAAUGCACAGAUGAAGGAAAGUUAUUUUUCAGUGGCCAUCAGAGUCUUCCGUUUCUUGGAUAAAAAAAUAAAAAAUCUCAGAGCUUGUGAUUCUGCAGAGGAAGCUCCCCUAAAUUGGUCUGUUGAAGCAAGACAGAAAACUUCAGUGCCUAAGGACUUGUUAAUUGCAUAUAUAGAAAAGCUUAAUAAUGAUCAGACUGCUUAUGCAGAGGAGUCAGUUAUGUUCCUGUUCUUGUUAAAAAACUUCAUUAAUGGCUUAAAACCUCCUCUCUCCUUUUCAGAAGAGGAAACUUGGUGGAAUCCUGAAUCCAUGAAUCAAGAUAGCCAAGACUACCUGCACCUCCUUUUGGGACUAUUUGACCUACUUGUCUCUGGAGCUAGUGAGGGAAGCAAUGCUGUUCAAUACAGAGCACUUAUGAAUCUUUUACUCAAGGUACAUCUUGAAGAUUCAGAGACUCUCUUCAAAUUCCUUUCAGUUUUAUGGACUUACAGUUAUAACCUUUCAAAUCAUCUGAACUAUGAAAUCAAUGCAAUGCUACAAACUCAAGCUCUGUAUAUUGGCUAUGCACUGCUUGAAUCCCUGACACACCAAAAGAAGAAACAGCUGCUAUUGCCUUCAUCUCCAGUGGUGAUAUCUUUGCUAGUCAACUUGUGUAGUCCAGUGAGUGAAGUUCGAAGGGCUGCUCUCAACUGCCUCCAUUCUUUUAGAGGGAUAAAAGAGUCUCUAUUUCAUCCUGUUCUUCAGCAUUUGGAGCAAAAGGCAGAAGAGAUCAUAUCUGACCCUGCCUACAUAACACAGGUUAUGGAAACACUGUUUGAGGAGCUUGAGACACAAUCGAAACAGAAAUCUCAGAAGAAAAAAUUGUUGGAAGCUUUGGAAAGCAUACUUGAUUGUGUACAGAACCCUGUUUUCCCAUCCUACAUUGCAAGAAACUUAAUGAAAAUUCUUCAUGAAGUCCAUGGAGAGAUGAUUCUUUCUCACCUCUUACCUGCACUAGACCGGUUGCUAGACAAGGUCUUUAAGAAACCCGAGGCAAUGUUGAAAGAUGAAGUUGUUCUCCUACAUCUCAUCCUUGGAAAGUUUAAUGAGUAUUCAGCAACACUCUUGUGCAAAAAUCAGCAGAGUCUGGAUUUAUUUCUCAAAAGUCUGCAUGCUGCCAAGAAAAUCUAUGAAGAAAUCCCACCAUUUCAGAUCACAGCACUUGGGCAGAUUACUAAACCAUUCUUUGCAGCUGUGUCAGAUGGGGUGGUGCAACAGAAACUAUUAAAAACACUGUUUGAUUUACUGUUAAACUGUAAGAAUCCACUUUGUGCCCAGACGAUCAGCAGUGUGUUUAAAGGGAUUUCAGUGUGUUCUGAGCAGAUUGUCAGAGAACUGGAGCCUCCUGAGAAAACCAAAAGUCUGGCCACUGUUCAGCAAACUAGAAGGCAGCAACAGAGAAAGCCUCAAGAUGCAGAACUGGCACCCGAAACAAGCCAUUUCAGCUGGCAGAGGGUUAUGCUUAUUCUGGAAUUACUGCAGCAUAAGAAGAAACUGAGACGUCCGCAGGCGUUGGUACCUGCGCUUUUUAACCUGCUGAGCCGGUGUCUGGAACCUAUGGCAUCAGAAGAAGAAAAUAUGGAAUAUACAAAGCAGCUAAUCCUCAGCUGCCUGCUCAGCAUCUGUCAGAAGUUGUCCCCAGAUGGCAGCAAGAUCCCUACAGAUGUCCUUGACAAAGAAAAAUUCAACGUGGAAUUGAUAGUUCAGUGCAUCAGGAUUUCUAAAAUGCCCCAGACACACCACCAUGCACUGCUGCUCCUUGGAGCUGUUGCUGGCAUGUUUCCUGAUAAAGUUCUUCAUAACAUUAUGCCCAUUUUUACAUUCAUGGGAGCAAAUGUCUUACGUCUGGAUGAUACUUACACUUUCCAAGUAAUUAAUAAGACAGUGCAGAUGGUUAUUCCUGCUCUUAUACAGGCUGAAGACAGUGAUUUGUCAGAGCCCUCUGGAAGUGUGGAAGAGGUGGUGAUAAAGAUCAUCCGUGUGUUUGUGGAUGCCUUGCCCCAUGUGCCAGAGCACCGACGCCUGCCCAUCCUGACCCAGCUGAUCACUACGGUGGGAGGAGAAAAGUUCCUCUGGGUUCUCCUGGUGCUGCUGUUUGAGCAGCAUGUGACCAAAACUGUGACUGCGACAUCAAGCACAGACAAGGAUGCUGUUCUGGAAGCAGACACUGAAUUUUGGAUUUCCAUCUGUUGCGAAUUUAAUGUACAAUCUCAGUUCCAGAGCAUGAUGAAAAUAAUCCAGUACUUGACAGAGCUGCCAGAGAAUAAAGAAGAUGAUCCUGGGACGAAAAAGUCAAGAACAUGUAAGGCAAAGCUAAAAAAUCAGGAUGGGCAGCUCUUCAAUGUGGAGUCUCACUCAGACAAACAACUUCGGCAUUUCAAAUUCUUGUCAGUCUCCUUCAUGUCACAACUUUUAUCCUCUCAGAGUUUUGUGAAAAAGAUAGUUGAAUGUGAAGAAACAGAAGAGCUUCAGAAGUUGGAACAGAGGCUAUUAGAGGACGUUCUUCACUACAUAAACACUGUGGCAUCUUCAGUGGAAGCAAACGUGGACAAACCAACAGCCAAAUUUUGGAGAGUUCUGCUUAACAAGUCCUAUGACAUGCUGGAUAAAGUCAAUGCCUUAUUGCCAACAGAAACCUUCAUCCCUGUAAUUAGGGGACUAAUGACAAAUCAGCUCCCAUCUGUGAGACGUAAGGCAAUGGACCUUUUGAACAAUAAGGUGCAGCAGCGCACAAGGUGGCAGAAGAGCCAGGUCCUGCAGCUCUUGGAGCUAGUUCCUGAGCUCAGUGCUAUUGUGCAGUGUAAAAGAAAAGAGGAAGAGGAGGAGCAGGCUAUCAACAGGCAGACUGCUUUGUUCAGCCUCAAGCUACUCUGCAAAGGUUUUGGCACAGAAAAUCCAGCGCCAUUUGUACCUGUUCUGAAAACUGCCGUCGAUCUGAUUUCUUCAGAGAAGGAGGAGAAGAAUGUGAUGGGAAGUGCUUUGCUGUGCAUAGCUGAGGUCACCUGUACAUUGAAAGCCCAAGCAAUACCUCAGCUUCCAAGGCUGAUGCCAGCACUGUUGAAGACUUUAAAAAAUAAGAAGGAGUUGGUCUCCAAUGAGAUUUACUUGCUGAGUGCUGUCACUGCUCUGCUGAAGGUUGCAGAAACAUUACCACACUUCCUGAGUCCUUAUCUUUUGGAUUGCUUGCUGCAGGUUGUUCGCUUGGAAAAGAUUGUGGUCGAGUUUGGUCCUUCUUCCCAGAUAAGCUUACGUGUGACAUCAUUGAAAACUAUCCUAGCUACAAGGCUUGCUCCCCGAAUACUGUUGCCUGCAGUUACAAAGUGUUACAGUGAAGUGGCAAAUACUCGGAAGAACUGCCUGGGUCCCCUUAUGAACAUUCUGAAGGAGCACAUUGUUGGGAUGGAGAAGGAGCACCUCAUCUCCCAUCAGUCAGAGCUGACGGCAUUUUUCAUGAAAGCCCUGGACUUCCGAACAGAGCAUGCUGAGGAUGAUUUAGAUGAAGUUGGUAAGACAGAGGCUUAUAUUAUUGACUGUCUAAUAAGUAUGGUUAUGAAACUUUCCGAGGCUUCUUUCAGACCCCUCUUCUUCAAGCUCUUUGACUGGUCCAAAACAGAGUCUACCCUGAAAGACAGACUGCUGACAUUCCACCGAAUAGCAGAUCGCAUCGCAGACAAGCUCAAGGGUCUCUUCACCCUCUUUGCUGGUCAUUUAGUGAAGCCAUUUGCUGAAACCCUGAACCAGGUCAACAUUUCUAAAACUGAUGAAGCUUUCUUUGACUCUGAGAAUAGCACAGAGAAGAGCUGUCUACUCUUGCAGUUCACCAUGGACUGUCUGCACAAACUCUUCCUCUUUGAUACCCAGAAGUUCCUGAGUAAGGAAAGAGCAGAAACCUUGAUGAUGCCUCUGGUAGAUCAGCUAGAAAAUAUGCUUGGAGGAGAUGAGAAGUUCCAGGAAAGAGUGACAGCACACCUGAUACCCUGCAUAGCUCAGUUUUCAGUCGCAAUGGCAGAUGAUUCUCUGUGGAAACCACUGAACUACCACAUCCUGCUGAAAAUGAGGCACAGCUCUUCUAAGGUCAGAUUUGCUGCUCUGCUUGCUUUGGUAGAAGUUGCACAAAAACUGAAAGAGAACUACCUGAUCUUGCUACCAGAAUCUAUUCCAUUCUUAGCUGAGCUCAUGGAAGAUGAAUGUGAAGAAGUUGAACGGCAGUGUCAGAAGACAAUUCAACAACUGGAAGUCAUUCUGGGAGAACCACUCCAAAGCUACUUCUAAGUUUAUCACCUGUUUUCAAUUUUGACUGAACUGUGUUAGUCUCAACCUGCAAGUGUUCCAGGCAAACUGUCAUACUAAUUUUUAUCAGAGCAAAGAUCUUAACUUUUUAAUAAAAUACUUGGGAAGCUGGAACAAGCUCUAAACAAAUUCUGAUAGCUGGGCACAAAAAGCAUGACAACGUGAAACUCACUGAAGGCCCCUGUGCAUGGGGCAUCAUGCAGUUACUGUCUCUGGAGGGGCUGUCCUGCUACAAUGUAAGCAUGGUACUCACUGAACCCAUGCGCUGCUGUCCUUAGAAUCUGCUUUGCUGUCAUUUCUAAGGAUGCAA